GACGAACGCUGGCGGCGGGCUUAACACAUGCAAGUCGAACGGAAAGGCCCUGCUUUUGUGGGGUGCUCGAGUGGCGAACGGGUGAGUAACACGUGAGUAACCUGCCCUUGACUUUGGGAUAACUUCAGGAAACUGGGGCUAAUACCGGAUAGGAGCUCCUGCUGCAGGGUGGGGGUUGGAAAGUUUCGGCGGUUGGGGAUGGACUCGCGGCUUAUCAGCUUGUUGGUGGGGUAGUGGCUUACCAAGGCUUUGACGGGUAGCCGGCCUGAGAGGGUGAACGGCCACAUUGGGACUGAGAUACGGCCCAGACUCCUACGGGAGGCAGCAGUGGGGAAUAUUGCCCAAUGGGCGGAAGCCUGUUGCAGCAACGCCGCGUGCGGGAUGACGGCCUUCGGGUUGUAAACCGCUUUCGCCUGUGACGAAGCGUGAGUGACGGUAAUGGGUAAAGAAGCACCGGCUAACUACGUG
rnacentral:rRNA from 1 species